rnacentral:tRNA from 1 species
GUCCCUGUAGCACAAUUGAUAGCGCUUUGGACUUCUAAUCCAAGGGUCAUGGUUUCGAAUCCCACCUGGGAUG